AUUGAACGCUGGCGGCAGGCCUAACACAUGCAAGUCGAACGAGUGGCGGACGGGUGAGUAAUGUCUGGGAAACUGCCUGAUGGAGGGGGAUAACUACUGGAAACGGUAGCUAAUAGCGCAUACCAUAGUCUGUCCCCAGAUGGGAUUAGCUAGUAGGUGGGGUAAAGGCGCACCUAGGCGACGAUCCCUAGCUGGUCUGAGAGGAUGACCAGCCACACUGGGACUUAGACACGGUCCAGACUCCUACGGGAGGCAGCAGUGGGGAAUAUUGCACAAUGGGCGCAAGCCUGAUGCAGCCAUGCCGCGGGUAUGAAGAAGGCCUUCGGGUUGUAAAGUACUUUCAGCGGGGAGGCGUUACCCGCAGAAGAAGCACCGGCUAACUCCGUGCCAGCCGCCGCGGUAAUAC
rnacentral:rRNA from 1 species